rnacentral:lncRNA from 1 species
AAAUUGUUCCUGAAAUAUUUAGCAUGUCAUUAAAAUCCAGAAAAAUUUCUGAUUUCUGAUUUUGGAGACAUACUUAGGAAGGUCUCUCUCAGCCUAAGAUCACACAAAAAUUAUUUAUAGCAUUUAAACUUUCUUACUCUACAUUUUUGAGACUAAAUAUCAUUUAGAAUUGAUUUUGGCCUGUGAAGUCAAUCAGGGAAUCUGAUAAUGCGCCUCCAAAAUGUCUAUUUAGUUGUCAUGUCACCUCUUACUGAGUAAUGAUUUCUUCCUUGAUAGACAGGACCCUAGAUGCAGGAAUUUGCAUCAGUUCUGUUGCCACCCGUACUUUGCAGUCCUUCUGUGGGCACCAGUCUGUUCUUGCCCACACCCAAAUAGUAAAAUAUUUGCUGUUGUUUCCUAAUUAACAGAUAUUCACAUUGGCAGAAAGAAUGGGGGGGGAAUGGCAUUUUAAUUACUUAUACAAUCAUCCCAAAACUGUAUUUGACCUGAAAUAUUUAAAUGGGGGGGGAAGGGAUUGUUCUGAAGGAGUCUAGAAAUUAGUAUAAAUAAGUGGAUGUUGGAGCUCCUGCUAGUGCAGUGGGUUAAGAAUCUGACUGCCAUGGCUCAGGCUGCUGUGGAGGUCCGGGUUCAGUCCCUUGAGUCAGAGGACCUGGUGCUGUCACAGCUGCAGUAUAGAUCACAUCUAUGGCUCAUAUUCAAUCCCUGGCCCAGGAGCUUCCAUACGCUGCAGGUUUUAGACGUUUUUAGACCUUAAGAUGGAAGUUGUUCCUAAAAUAUUUAGCAUGUCAUAUUGGCAUAUGGCAGCAGGUGCAGCAUUUUAUGUAAUAACCUUCAUUAACUAAACAGAUUCUUUUGAGCAUUUCUGUGUGAAGCCUUAUAAGCCUCUCAAGCUAUCCAUUGGCCUACAAUUACCUUAAUUGUAACCUGUAUCAGACAAGUGUGUGUCAAAGCCCCAACUCAGAGUGGGAGCUCAAUAAAAUAUUGGGUAUUCAUUGGCCACAUAAACUUAAAUUGUACUAAAUAUGAUAAAAUUCAGAGUUAAAUAGGCCUGGGCUUCCAAUACAUUUCCUUAACAUUGUAGUGGCACAGGAGAUUUCCUUUCUUAAAGAGUAUUAACAUUCUAGAAGGUAAGACACUUUAAUUAUAAAAAUUGUGUUUACUGGUGAUGUCUGAUUUUCCCGUGCAAGGUUUAAUCUGCUAAAUAUGACUUAAUUUUUUGUGAAUUUUACUUUAACCUAGGCAUUUCAGAAUUUAUAAGUGGAAUAUUAUUAAUUCUAGCGACUCAAGGCCUGCCUUGGUAUUUUGCAGUCUUUAGUGUGAAGUCGUUCAUUUAGAAAACUGCAAAUGGAGGUGUGAACCUAAAGUAUUACUUAGGAAGAUUAAUUAUGAGACAUAAUUAUAAACGUAAAUGCCUACAUUCAUAAUCAUUUCACAACUUAUAAUUGUACCAGAAACCUCUAACCAAGUAUACUUGUAACAUCCUAUGGUUGAAUUCAUUUAAAUAGGCUGCAAAAUCAUAAGCCAUAAUCUGAAUUUGAGUUAGAUUAGUCUGAUAAUUAAGGUCCUUGUACAGGGUUUCAAAUCUGAAAUAAUUUUAGUCUAGGCUCUAGAUUUUAGUCGAGAUUUAUUUUUCCUUUUCCAUUGCAGACCUGGCUGAUAGCCUCUAAAUGGGAUCAGGCUUCUUCAGUCAGUAGGUAGUGCCCAGUCACCAAGAUGGACCACAGUCACCAUGUGGGUCGUUGGAGGGCCCUGGCCUCUUCCUGUGCCCUUUCUGCUUCCAGGACCAAUAAAUGUUUUCAGAAGUCACCCAUUAAGGAUGUUGAUGGACCACUUCCCGCAGGGCCCCCACUGGCCCUCCCUACACUAUGCUGCUCCAAAGGGCCCCCUUUGAGACCAGAACAGCUCAUCCCUACCAUUCUGCUGUGGCAGCCUCCUUACUUUGUAAUGUUUGGAGUCUUUGGAGAUAAAGAAGUCUAGACUUUAACUGUAGUUCUGGAAUCUUCUUGGAUGUGUAUAUGGACUUUAUCUCAGUGUCUUCAUCUGUUAAAUGGAAGGUUGUCGUGAGGACUAGGAUAGCAUUCAUGGAGAGCCUCUAGCUGAGCAGGACUUAGGAAGUGAUAAUCCGUCUUACUUUUAUUUCAUAUCAUUGUUUGCUUACUUUUUUCAAGGCUUUAUAUUCAACGUUCUAUACUCUAGGUGCUAUGUUAGGUACUGAGGCUACAGCCAUGAGCAACAUAGCUCUGCCCUCAGAGAACCUGUGGUUUAGUGGUGAUAGAGACAGGAAACCAUGCAAUUACCCAUCAUUCAGGGAGAUGAAUAUUGAGUUUGGGAUGAGUAGUGGGGACUUCUGGAGCUGCCAGCAAUAGCUUCCUGAAAAGCCGAUGGUCCCAAUUUCUGAAAGAGAGGCAAGAGUCUGGGUAGGGAAGAAAGGAGGAGCCUCUGCAGGUGGAAGUAUAUGCAGAGGCCACGGGAGAGGUCAGAUGUGCUUGUGGGCUCUACAGUGACCCCAAUAUGCCUGGAGAGCUGAGUCCACUGGAUCCUGCAGUGAAGGCUGAAGACUUACAUAGGUGGGGUAGUCACUCUUCUGUCACUUGUUUUAUGCAUUGUCCAAAGCUUUAAUGAAACUAAACAAGAAGGAAAUGAGUCUCCACUAGGUGAAUAGUGAACAACACUGCAAUUCUCUAAAGACAGGUGAGAGUCCUGCUGAUGGUGGGAAUUUGGACUGUCUUCUCCACCAUACAUACAUUCCUGAAUGUAUGCAUAUUUCCUACAUGUUUCUAGCUACAGAGAACAUAGCAUGUGAACUAGCAUGAAUUACAGUUAUUUUUAAAUGAGGUGGGAGUGACAGCUAAUAAAGGGAGAACAGAACUAACAGGUUUGAAAGCCAACAGACCAAAUCAAAGAGAAGAAAAGGAGAGGAAACCACAGACCUCUCUGGAUAACUUCUGAUUUGACUCUGUCUCUAUUUUAUAAAGUGAAAAUAAGCAGUCUUUCUAAAAAAGUGAUAUUGUUUUUUUAUUUAUACCACAUAACUACUACUCUAAGAAAUUGUCUCCACUGUAUUUGAUUCUUGGUAGAAUUUGAUUUCAUUAUAUGAUCUUGUUUGUGGGUUUGGGGGCUUAAGCAAUAGACAGCAUUAACUCAUUCACACAAGAAAGUAUAGAAAAGUUACACUGAAGAUGGCAGAAUAGAAGGACUGGAGCUCAACUUCUCUCCUAAAAACAACAAAAUUCACAACUAAAGGCUGAGCAGUCUCCACCCAAAUGGACCAAAAACCUUCAAAAAGAUAUCCUACUCCAGAAGAAAAAAAGGAGGCCACAUCAAGAGGUAGGAGGGGUGAUUACAUGAUAUAAACAACCCCUUACCUUCUGGGUGGGAAGCCCCACAAACUGGAAAACUAACUGAUUCACAGGGACUCACCUACAGGAGUGAGAGUUCUGAGCCCCACAUCAAACUCUCAUGUGUGGGGAAUCCAGCACUGGGAGAAAGAGCCCCUGGAGCAUCUAGCAUUGAAGGCCAGUGGGGCUUGUGCACAGGAGAUCCAUGGGACUGGGGGAAACGGAGACCCCAUUAUUAAAAGGCACACGUGGACAUUCACGUGCACUGGGUCCCAGGGCAAAGCAAAGUCUCCAUAGGAAUCUGGGUCAAACCUGACUGCAGUUCUUGGAGGACAUCCUGGGAAGGCAGGGAUGAAUGUGGCUUGUUGUGAGGGAAGGACAUUGAAAGCAAAGCUCUCAGGAAUCUUCAUCAGCACAUGUUUCUCUGGAGGUGGCAAUUUUGAGAAAAUCUGGCCCCACACAUUGGCAGUGAGAAGCCCCAGGCCAGACAACAAUCCAGGUGGGAUCACAGCUCCACCCAUCAGUAAACAAGCUACCUAAAGAACCCUCAGGCACACAGCUGCCUCCAAUACCAUCCAGAGACUAAGCCCCACCCACCAGAGGGAUAGGAAUCAGCUCUAUCUACAGUGGGCAGGCUUCAGCCCCUCCCAUCAGGAAGCCUACAGCAAGCCCCCAUACCCACUUCAGCUACAAGGGAGGCAGACACCAUAAGUAAGAGAGGCUACAACUCUAUUAUCUGUAAAAAGGUCACCACACCAAAAACCUGCAAAAAUGAAAAGAUAGAGAACUAUAAAUCAGAUGAGGGAGAAAGGAAAAAUCCCAGAAAAUCAGCUAAGCAAUGAGGAGAUUCUCAGCUUCCAGGAGAAAGACUUUAGACUGUUGAUGCUGAAGAUGAUGCAAGACACUGGAAAUAAACUGGAGGCAAAGAUGGAUAACUUACAGGAAACACUGAGCAAAGAGAUACAAGAUAUAAAACUUAAAUAAGAAGAGAUGCAAAAUACAAUAAAUGAAAUAAAAAACUCACUAGACGCAUCUAACACCAUAAUACAGGAGGUAGAAGAAAAAAUAAGCGAGGUGGAGGACAGAUUAGUGGAAAUUAUGGAUGCAGAACAGAAAAGAGAAAAAAGAUUGAAAAGAAAUGAAGAGAGUCUCAGAGAACUCUGGGACAAUGUUGAACGCACCAACAUCCAUAUUAAGGGAUGCCAGAAGGAGAAGAGAGAGAGAAGGGGACAGAAAAAAAUAUUCCAAGAGAUAAUAGACGAAAACUUCCCUAACAUGGGAAGGGAACCACUCACUCAAAUCCAGGAAGCACAACGGGUACCAUAAAAAUAAACCCAAGGAGGAAUACACCAAGACACAUAUUAAUCAAACUGAUUAAUAAAAAUUAAAGACAAAGAGAAAAUCUUGAAAGCAGUUAGGGAAAAGAAACAAAUAACAUACAAGGGAACCCCAAUAAGGUUAUUGGCAGAUUUUUCAGCAGAAACUCUGCAGGCCAGAAGGGAGUAGCAUGGUAUACUUAGCGUGAUGAAAGGAAAAAACCUCCAACCAAGAUUACUUUACCCAGCAAGGCUGUCAUCAGAUUUGAAGGAGAAAUCAAAACCUUCUCAGAUAAGCAAAAGCCGAGAAAAUUCAGCAACAUUAAACCAGCCUUACAACAAUACUAAAGGGAUUUCUCUAGGCGUAAAAGAAAAGACAGCAACAGGAAGCAAAAAUUUCACAAAUGACAAAGCUUACCAGUAAAGGUAUAUAUACAGUAAAGAUACGAAAUCAUCCAUGCACAAUUAUACCACCGAAAUCCGAAAUCAUGAGAAGAGGUGGGUACAAAUGCAGGACACUUGAGAUGCACUUGCAAUUAAGAGAAUAACAACUUAAAACAAUCUCAUAUACAUAUAGACUCAUAUCAAAACUUCAGAAUAACUACAAACCAAAAAUCUGCAAUUGAUACACAAAGAAAAAUCAAUUCAAAUACAACACUAAAGAUAGUUGUCAAACCAGAAG